GUUGCUUAGCUUUUUAAAACAUGCCACAUUAUCUGCCCACAUGUUUCUUUAGAUCCACUAAAAAAGGAUAACAGGAUCUAAUAGUAACAUACCACUUCCCUUCUUCUCUUAGGUUUAUGUUUCAUGUCAUAUAGUUUUUGCCUUUCAUUGUUAAAAAUAGUAAGUAGUGUUAAGUGAAGUUUCAGACAUAAAUAGGAAGUUGUAGUUUAUUAAAGAUUUAGGAGUAACUUAUUCUGAGUUUCAGGUAAAUCACAUUUAAAUGAGUAUUACACCUAGUAUUUAAAUAUAAGAAUAAGAAUAAAUUAAUACUUCAGUCCUUAGUUUUACAUACAAGUCCAUUUUACUAUUUUCACAUUAUUUUCCUCAUGUAACUAAAUUCAAAUUUUCUGUCCUCAAGUUACAGUAUCUUUUCUUACCUUACUAAAUAUACCAUCAAGAAAGUAUAUAUUGGGGUGCCUGGGUGGCUCAGUGGGCCAAUCCUCUGCCUUUGGCUCAGGUCAUGAUCCCAG